AUUCCUAAAUGCUAAACGAAUAGCCUUCAUCUUCCUCGUACUCCCUCGCCUGUAACGCCACAGCUUCGACGCCAGUGAAGACACUAUCACUUCUGUUGACCCCUAAAAUCACACCCCGAGAUCGCCUCAACGCCCUCAUCAUGAAUCUCUUCUCAGUUUCCCUCGAAUCAUAUCCGGUCUGCUUGAAUAUUGGAUUUUGCCACCGCCGUCUCUGCUGCCCACGGUGGCGCCGUCCCCAAUCACCACCAAACUGACACCCUAGGUCCCCCUUCUCCUCUGUUCGUAUCUGACAUUAUUUUUCUUCGAAUCACCCACAGGCCUGUCGAAUCUUAAUUCAAAGAUUUCAUCAAAGCCCUAAUUUUCCCAUAACUUCUUCAAGUUGAUACUAUGCCAACACCUCAUCUCUCUCAUGACGAAAUCACCAUCAACAAUGUUCAAAUAUCACCAGAGUCACUCGAAAUUUGAAUUGAGAGGCGGCAGAAGUCGAGUCGUAUUAGUGAGUUUUUUUUGUAAUUCACUUAUGUUUGCUUCUGCUAAAUAAACAAAAUUUGUUUGAAUAAUUUAUAGUCUAGUUUAGCAUUAAUCUAUUUUUGGGUUAUUAUUAUUAAGUGUUAAAUGUUUAGUUUAGUCCUUAGCUUAAUUUUUAUUGUUUGUUUGUUUGUUAAUUCUGAGUUGAAUCUUCGAUUGUUAUCAGUUGUUAGAUUAAUUAGGGUUUUUAUUUGUUGUUUGAUCGUUUAAGAUUUUGAUUCGUUUUAUUAAAGUUUGAUUGACAGAUUAAGAUUUGUUAAAUGUUGAUACAUGCCUGUUUUAGUUAAAAAUAGAAUUUAGUUUAUUUUUUUUUUGAAUUUCUCAUUUUUGCUUUGUUAGUUUUAAUUUUGUUCUGAUUUUGGCUUACAUAUGAGUUUUGUUCCUUUAACUUCAAUUUUUUAUUAAGUUAAUAUUUUUAUUAGUCUUAAGAUUAGUUUUAUUCAUUUUAACUAGGUUUGUGGAAAAAAUAGAAAAUAAAAGAUAGAGAGGAGAGAGAAACUCUCGGCGUAGGCUUCAAUGGAACAGUGCGCUUGAUCAGCGCACGU
rnacentral:lncRNA from 1 species